rnacentral:rRNA from 1 species
GACGAACCGUCCAAACGUUAUUCGGAAUCACUGGGCUUAAAGGGUGCGUAGGCGGCGCGGAAAGUUGGGUGUGAAAUCCCUCGGCUCAACCGAGGAAUUGCGCCCAAAACUUCCGUGCUCGAGGAAGAUAGAGGUGAGCGGAACUUAGGGUGGAGCGGAUGAAAUGCGUUGAUAUCCUGAAGGAACACCGGUGGCGAAAGCGGCGUCACUUGGAUCUUUUCUGACGCUGAGGCACGAAAGCCAGGGGAGCAAACGG